rnacentral:sRNA from 1 species
GAUUCCGGGGAGAGUGAAGAAGCAGAGGAAGAAGUGGGUGAGGGGACGCCGCAGAGCAGCGCCCUGACAGAGGGCGACUAUGUGCCCGACUCCCCCGCCCUGUCGCCCAUCGAGCUCAAGCAGGAGCUGCCCAAGUACCUGCCGGCCCUGCAGGGCUGCCGGAGUGUCGAGGAGUUUCAGUGCCUGAACAGGAUCGAGGAGGGCACCUAUGGAGUGGUCUACAGAGCAAAAGACAAGAAAACAGAUGAAAUUGUGGCUCUAAAGCGGCUGAAGAUGGAGAAGGAGAAGGAGGGCUUCCCGAUCACGUCACUGAGGGAGAUCAACACCAUCCUCAAGGCCCAGCAUCCCAACAUCGUCACCGUUAGAGAGAUCGUGGUGGGCAGCAACAUGGACAAGAUCUACAUCGUGAUGAACUACGUGGAGCACGACCUCAAGAGCCUCAUGGAGACUAUGAAACAGCCCUUCCUGCCAGGUACAGCCGCGCCCCGGGGGCCUCUCUGCGCACAAGUGGGGGCAGUGUCCUGGUCACCCCCGCGGUGACACUGCUGCAGGGAGGGCCAGCUGCAUCCGCAGGGAAAGCCCUGAGAAGCCUCUGUUGCUGCCGAGGCGAGUGGGCCACCCUGAGUGCCCUGGGCUGGGGGCGGCCGGGUCCACAUGGGAGCCUCCCUCCCUCCCAGGGGAGGUGAAGACCCUGAUGAUCCAGCUGCUGCGGGGGGUGAAGCACCUGCACGACAACUGGAUCCUGCACCGUGACCUCAAGACGUCCAACCUGCUGCUGAGCCACGCCGGCAUCCUCAAGGUGAGCCCCCCUCCGAGUGGCCCACCCCAGGGUGACCUGCGCGGGCCCACCCACAGCCGCCCAUCUGUCAUUGCAGGUGGGUGACUUCGGGCUGGCACGGGAGUACGGAUCCCCUCUGAAGGCCUACACCCCGGUCGUGGUGACCCUGUGGUACCGUGCCCCAGAGCUGCUGCU